CAAAAUCAAAUAUCUCUCGCCAGUUCGUCGCCACGCUCCCAGACCUACAAGGCAAAACCAGAGCACAUCAGCGGCCUGACCCGAGGUGACAUUUCGGGGAGAAACUGAACAAUAUCUGCCGUUCCAGACAUCUCGCUGGAGGAGAUGGGGGAAGUCAGAGCCAUCCUGCUGGAGAGUUUUCCUGUCAUCUCCCUUCAGCCCCGUUCCUGCUGUCUCUGGAUGGUUUGCUGUAGCCACAGCACUCUGACCUAACCCAUCCGUGUCACGGUGCCUUCUCCAUGCCGAUCCCAAGGCCAAGCCUCCCUAUGAUGCAAGUUGGAAACUUUACCAAAGCCUGCGGACCAGCAGUGGAUAAUGUCAGCCAGAGAUCUGGCUCGUGAAGUUCUUAAUGCUUUUCAGUUAGCAAGGCCAAAGGCCCCUGCAGUUGGCUGCAACACCGUUCCUGUGCCCUGUGUAGUCUCAGGUUAGUGAAAAUUUGUUCACCAAACCCCACGUCUAGAGGAUGUGCUUGGGGAAACACCACUUUGAGAAGCAUGGAAAGAAGCCAUCCCUGAAGCAGGAUUGCCUUUGAGCUGGCAGUAGACGAGUGAUUGGCAUUGGGCAGCGCUGCUGAGACUCUGGCAGGCCGUUUAGCAGAGAACCUUGGCUAAUGAAUGUCAUCCACACCUAGCAGAUGUGCCACUGCCUGCCAUGCCAGAUUUUUGACAUAAUACAGGGCUGCUGGACACGACAGUGCUCGGGAAAAGCCAGGGAGCGACUCGUGCCUUCAACGUGGCGUUUGGUCCUGCUCGUGCUCUGCGAGAGAAACGAAACCUGCAGGGGGGGAGGGAGGCACAGCCGCGUCUCCCGGCCCUCGACCCUGGUUUUAUUGAUACAGAUAUACAAGGCAAACCAAAGGUUUCGGCUGCUAUUCAGUGCCUCCUCAUUUGUCCCAGAGCCGUAACAGUGGUGCCCUUUCUCUUCUGGCUGCUUUUCCCUGCUUCUGGAGCAGCAGUUAUGGGAGAAGCAGAUGGCUACUGAUUGGGUGAGCUUUGUGGCUUUAAUACUGAAUACUUUAUGGAAAAGGACUUUAUCAUGCUUGGUUGGUCAGAGGAACAACGGGAUGAGAUUUAUGACUAGAGAAAAUAAAUCUUUUUAAGUUUCAGGCUCCUUCACACACCCCACGUCAAGUUGCUGCAGCAGAGCUGGAGCUGAAAUCCUCUGCAUCUUUAUUUUUUUCCCUCCCCCCCGCCCCGUCUGUCUGUCCUUUCACUGCUCUCCCCACCCCCUCUGCGCCAGCCUUUAGCAAACCUUUGCUAACUUUAGGGACUGUCACUCGCUGGAGAGGCCAAGGCCUUCAGAGCCCCCGGGCAGCCCCAGGAGGGGCGAGGCCAUCCCUGCAGGAGGAUCAUCCACCUGCGGGAAUACGCUGGGCGCUCAGCUCCUGCCAUGCGUAACUCAGCGGCCACCCAGGGUCCGGUGGGGAGCUGCGAGUGACAUCCUCACGGACCCGACAGCAGAGAGCUCGUGUGGCCACCAAAGAGACGCGCGGCCCGCUGCUCCGAGCUCAGGUCUCCUGAGGAGAUGCAGCCCAGCACUGCCCGACCCCAUGC